AUGGCGGGGCGCUACGAUGGCGGCAACCCUUUCGAGGAGGAGGAGGACGUGAACCCUUUCUCGGAACAAACGCGAGGCAAAGCUGGCGGGCAGUCCAACUAUGGUGGCGGCGGCGCGUUUUACAUGCCGAAUCCCAGAAACGUUGCCCCCUCCUCGAAUUCGCGGCUUUCGCCCCUUCCCCCGGAACCUGCAGAUUUCAGUGCCACAGUGGAUAUCCCUCUUGAGUCGUCAAAGGACCUGAAGAAAAGAGAAAAGGAGCUGCAAGCGAGGGAAGCAGAGUUGAAUAAGAGGGAGAAGGAAUUGAAAAGAAGGGAGGAAGCUGCAGCACGAGCUGGUAUUGUCAUCGAGGAAAAAAACUGGCCUCCUUUUCUGCCACUUAUCCACCAUGACAUUGCCAAUGAGAUACCGACUCAUCUUCAAAGAAUGCAAUACUUCGCAUUUGCGUCAUUUCUUGGUUUAGUUUUCUGUCUCUUCUGGAAUGUCAUAGCAGUUACUUCAGCCUGGAUCAAGGGGGAAGGUGUGAAAAUCUGGUUGCUAGCAAUAAUCUACUUCAUCUCUGGGGUUCCUGGUGCAUAUGUGUUAUGGUAUCGCCCUCUUUAUAAUGCUAUGAGGACUGACAGUGCGUUGAAGUUUGGAUUGUUUUUCUUGCUCUACUUGUUUCACAUCGUUUUCGUCGUAUUUGCUGCCGUGGCUCCUCCUGCUGUCUUUGAGGGCAAGUCUUUGGCAGGAAUUUUACCGGCGAUUGAUCUUAUCAGCGUGAAUGCUCUAGUUGGGAUCUUCUACUUCAUUGGUUUUGGAUUAUUUGCCCUGGAGUCAUUGCUGAGCAUCUGGGUUAUCCAGCAAGUGUACAUGUACUUCCGAGGAAGUGGAAAGGCGGCAGAGAUGAAGCGCGAUGCGACAAGGGGCGCUAUGAGAGCGGCAUUUUGA
rnacentral:rRNA from 1 species